UGGUGGAGUGAUUUGUCUGCUUAAUUGCGAUAACGAACGAGACCUUAACCUGCUAAAUAGCCAGGCUAGCGUUUGCUGGUCUCCUGGCUUCUUAGAGGGACUAUCGGCUCAAGCCGAUGGAAGUUUGAGGCAAUAACA
rnacentral:rRNA from 1 species